GACAGGAUAUUGCCUGCCAAACAAAAAGGUGGCUGCAUUUCUUCAUGUUUACUCGACCACUGCAUUGAGUUAUUAGAUCAUGAACUAUUUGUUCCUUUCAGCUAAAUCUUAAUAUAAUUAACUAUUAUAUUUAGAAGAUGUCACUGUGGAAGUUGUUUGAAGGUGCCAACUGCCAGGUCCUUGAGGUCCUGUGGAGGGGUGAACACAGUCUCAGAAGAUACAAGAGAAUAAGAGAUAACAGAGAUAAGGAACUGGGUUUUAUGACACUAGAUGAACCACUGGAAUGUGACCGGACUGAAGAAUGGGAGGAACACACCACAGCUUAUCACAGUGUAGGUUAAUGUAGAUUACUUAUGUCAGCAAGCUAGCAUUUAAAGAGCUGUCUACUACCAUGUUAUUUCUCUCGCUCCUCAUGAUCUCUCAGCUGCGUCAGCCUCCUCUUUUCUCCUCUCAUCUCUUCGUCAUCGUUCACGGUCCUUUCAUACUCCCCGUCUCUCCAUUGUCACAUGGUUGACAAUACCCAACCAUAGAAGUUGCUGUGUAUUACGGAGACUGGGCAGCUGUUCGCAAUGAGAUUAUGUUUUCUAUCAAUUCCACGUACAACUCUUUUGAUGUGGAACUGCAACUACCAAAAUGACCAUACAUAUAUAUAUAUAUAUAUACUUCAUGCUAUAAAAAACUGAUAAUUAGUUCCUUCAGGCGAUGACUUAACAUGUUGAGUAAUAUAACACCGCAGCUUGAUUUAAUGAAAUGUCACGUUACUCGUCACGUUACCUAACCUGCUAUCCAGAGCACUCCCUGGCGGGUCAUGUGAAGCGCACGUGACUCAUAGUAAUAUCAUGUUCGUACACGAAUAAUAUUAAUCUACACUCAAAGAGAGACUCGUGAAUCGUGUUCCGUUCAGUUCGCUCUGACCCAUUUCUUUUUCUUGAGACCUAGUAAGCUUGCACUAAAACUCAGGCCUGAUUUGUUAACGUGUUUUAAUUGACGAGUGUUUGUCAGCAAAACAUUUACAGCUUCUUGGCAGGUACGUGGAAGAUUUAUAGUAAAGAGGUUUUACCAAGUUAUAAAACUCAUUUACAUUUUGGCAUAGUUUUAUUAAUCAACUUACAUAUUAUAAUUAAUACCAAAGCGGAUUUUAAGCUAUGUAAUUAAAUCAUAACAAUAAAACGAAGGUUCAUCAUAACUUGAGAGAUACAUAUUUCAAUUUUUGAGUACAGUUCAUGGUUAUUGAAUGCAAAUGUUUUCAGUGAUUGAAUUGUCCGAAACUUUAACAGACGAUCUGAGAGGAAAACUAUUUCCAAAUUCCUAACUGUAACCAGAACUUAUCUUGUGAAGAGCCAAGGAUAUCAGAUUUCAGUGAACAGAAGUACGGUACCGUAGAGGAUCAUAAGGACUUAUUCAAGAAACUACUUCCUAACUUAAGUCAAUCUUGUGAAGACUGACAUAUCCUACCCUAGAUUAUCAGGAUUCAGUACACAGUAAGAGAGGAUCAAACCAACUCAGACAAUUUUAACAAUCUCUCAACAUCAGUUACUGAAUUUUACGAAAAUUUAAAAACGGUUCUGAGAGGAAUACUAUUUCCUAAAUCCUAACUGCAAUCUAUCUUGUGGAGACUGAUCUUACCUACUCCAGGUUUUUAGCUAUAUGAAUGUUUGGCUGUAUUCAGACAACUCAAUCUUCUUUCUAUACGGGUUCUUUAUUAGUUAAAUAAUUGGUUGAUUCAUUUGAGGGACAUUUUAGUUAGUGUCAUUUUAGAAUACGGCAGCCAGCACGUCAUUUUAAAGCGAUAAGAUUAAGAGACUCUCGUGGAGUAUAUCAGAUUUCAGUGGACAGAAGUAAAGGAUCAAAACAACUUGUUCAAGCAACUACUUUCUACCUGUAGUCAAUCUUGUGAAGACUCUGCCCUAGGCCUAUUUUAUCAAGAUUCAGUACACAGAAAGAGAGGAUCAAACCAACUCAAACAAUCUUAACAGUCUCUCAACACCAGGACAAGAAGGAAACACGCCACUAAAACCAACCUCGGACCCACUAUUUUAUUUCAAGAUAUAUCAACUGAUCAGCAAUGGAUAAAUAUUUGGAAAAUGGGAAACAAAUUUACGAAGAAUACUGCUCAUCGGCUGGAAACCUGCCCACAAUGCUUCCAAGAGCUCCAGAGCAGACCUACGUAGACAAAUAUCCAGAAGAAGAUCAACCAGCUGGUCCAAGCUUUAGAGAUGACAGACAACAUCAGUCAGACUAUGAGACCGAGGUUAAAAUGUAUAGGGCUUCAGAAUUAGGGUUUGUUAAAAACUUUAUUGUUCUCCACAGUUUUAUGUACACACACAAUCAGUAUUGCCUGUGUGCAGGUAAAAGUCAUGUUAGGAACAGAAAAACGUGUGACAAGUGCAAGAGUCCAUUUAACAAGGAAGGCGAGUGCGAUUUUAUCAUCAUUUGUCCGGACAGUUUCAUUGUUAUCGAGGUGAAGAACAUGGAGCAUGUUGAUAGAGAGAUGAUGGAAUGUGAACCAGACUUCCACUUGUGUUCUAUUGGCGAGGACUGGCAACCUGAGUGCACAACUAGAAAAUUGGAGGCAUUGAUUGGUACGUACAGGAAGUCAGCUGAGCAAAGAAGCAAGGUAGUGGAACUGAUCAGA